AUUGAACGCUGGCGGCAUGCUUUACACAUGCAAGUCGAACGGUAACAGGCCGCAAGGUGCUGACGAGUGGCGAACGGGUGAGUAAUGCAUCGGAACGUGCCCAGUCGUGGGGGAUAACUGCUCGAAAGAGCAGCUAAUACCGCAUACGAUCUAUGGAUGAAAGCGGGGGACCGUAAGGCCUAGCGCGAUCGGAGCGGCCGAUGUCAGAUUCGGUAGUUGGUGGGGUAAAGGCUCACCAAGCCAACGAUUUGUAGCUGGUCUGAGAGGACGACCAGCCACACUGGGACUGAGACACGGCCCAGACUCCUACGGGAGGCAGCAGUGGGGAAUUUUGGACAAUGGGGGCAACCCUGAUCCAGCAAUGCCGCGUGCAGGAAGAAGGCCUUCGGGUUGUAAACUGCUUUUGUACGGAACGAAACGGUCUGGGUUAAUACCCUGGGCUAAUGACGGUACCGUAAGAAUAAGCACCGGCUAACUACGUGCCAGCCGCCGCAGUAA
rnacentral:rRNA from 1 species